rnacentral:lncRNA from 1 species
ACUAAGGAAGACUGAAGAUUGAAAAGGGGGAAAAGAAGGAAAAACCAUGUUCUGUUGCUAUCAUUUAAAAGAAGGGAAAAUAUGUCAAUGCACAUCUUGGCCAUUACUGAACAAGAUCUAACAGGAGAGGUCACUUUUAUUUAAAAAAUAGAGAGGUGAUGUAUGCAUUUGUUAGAAACCUCAGUGGAGGUUCAUGUAAUUUUUUUAAAAAAAGGCAUACAAGCAUGGUAACAAGAUGGGGAAUGAUAAUCAAAAUGCUCUGGCACAAGAAAUGCUAUCAAUGAAAUCCAGGUUGUACCUGGUAGAGAGUGGUCCUUCCCUUGUUGGAGGGGAAAGAGUACGCUGUCUUUAAGGUUUCUUGAGUUAGGAGAAGUUCUCUAUGUCAUUCUUUUUCUGAUAUAACCAAUAUGCCACCAUAUUAGUAAUGUACAUGAGUAACAGCCUUUGUUAAUUCAAUUGUGCUUUGCAUGGUAUAUUUUUGUGUUUUCAUAUAGGAGACAAUAAGAUAAUUAAUGGGGAAAAACCACUCUCCUUG